AAUAAGUGCAGUUUUGCACUGUUCAUAUCCAACAUUUGACCAUUCAUCUUAUUUGAAAUUUUUUUAUGAUUAAUAUUUUUAUUGUUAUUAGAUGAUAAAAUAUGAAUAGUAUUUUAUAUGUGAUUAAUCUUUUAUAAUUUUUUUAAAUAAGACGAAUGGUCAAACGUUGGACACGGAUAUCCAUAACUGCACUUAUU
rfam:Oryza barthii chromosome 11, whole genome shotgun sequence.